UGAGUCUCAGGGAUCAGAGAGUAGGCACAAGCUACUCAGAC
rnacentral:sRNA from 12 species